UGCAUUUGUUUUUAGAGAAUAUCUGAGGGGAUGGUUUUCGAGGAGGGAUAUCCAGAAAAAUUCAUCUAGAAAUGUCAAGGUCCAAUACAUUCAAGGGUGUAAUUGGAAAAUAUCCUUUAAAAGCUUUCAACCUUUAAAAUUGCAUUACGAAUAAAAAAUGCAGCAGGAGAGGAAGAAAAAA
rnacentral:misc_RNA from 1 species